AAGCAAGAUAUAAUCAAACCCAGGGCCUAGGGAAGAUACAGGUGCACAGAGCGAUACUGUGAUAGACAGAUACUUAGUCGCAGCCAGGAGACAUUCCACCUAUAUACUGGAGAAUGGUACAGAAUCCAGUAUUAGUUCAGAGUCCAAGGAGACAACAGGAGGGGUUCAGUUCUGAGCCCUGAGCAGCCUGCUGCAAGUGAUUCUCCCUCUCUUGACAACAGCUAAGGAAACUGCUGCUCAAAUAUGCCCACCAUUGACUAGCCAACAACUCGUGGGGGGAGGAACUACCAAGCAUCUACAUGUCAAAUUCACUGCAUACAGCUAUGCCUGUGCUACUGGUGGGCCAUCUGCAGAUGCCACAGAGCUGGUGCCUUCCACAGGAAUGGGCCGGAAGGAAGAAUACAGAAGAGAGCACCUCCACUUUCAACUCAAUGAGAAUAAAAUGAAGGCAAGAACAGAUCUUCAACAUGGCAUGUGUGUAAAGGAAAAGCCAGCAAUGGUGAGACAUCAGGAUAUGGCAACUUACACUCUCCAUACUGAGGCAGAGAAAGUCUCCUUCUUCUGAUUGUGACAUCCCAGUACCCUGAAGCAAACAACAUUCAGUCUACAUAACUUAUAUUACUUAGCAAUUAUAAUAAUGAAGUAUAAAUCCUUUAUAAUUUAAUUAAUUAUGAAUAGAUAAAACAGACAGUUGGUAAUAAAUUUAACUACAAUACAUAUUUAUAACAGGAUUUCUGAUAAAUAAUUAUAAAAAUAGAUUAUGCAUUAAAAAUGUGACUGACAGCCCUGCUCCAAGAAACACUUAUGUAUAUGAGUAAAUUUACACAUGAGAAUAAGCCAUUUAAAUGCAGUAAGUGUAAACGUUCAUGGGAUGGGACUCAAUUUGGGUCAGUCCUAAAAGUGAACUGAUUGCACAAAAACUUUUAUCCAGGUUGGUGCAAAACUAUUCAAUUCUAAAUAUAGUUUUGUUUA